GAUGAACGCUGGCGGCGUGCCUAAUACAUGCAAGUCGAGCGAACGGACGAGAAGCUUGCUUCUCUGAUGUUAGCGGCGGACGGGUGAGUAACACGUGGUUAACCUACCUAUAAUACUGGGAUAACUUCGGGAAACCGGAGCUCAUACCGGAUAAUAUUUUGAACCGCAUGGUUCAACAGUGAAAGACGGUCUUUCUGUCACUUAUAGAUUGUUCCGCGCUGCAUUAUCUAGUUGGUAAGGUAACGGCUUACCAAGGCAACGAUGCAUAGCCGACCUGAGAGGGUGAUCGGCCACACUGGAACUGAGACACGGUCCAGACUCCUACGGGAGGCAGCAGUAGGGAAUCGUCCGCAAUGGGCGAAAGCCUGACGGAGCAACGCCGCGUGAGUGAUGAAGGUCUUCGGAUCGUAAAACUCUGUUAUUAGGGAAGAACAUAUGUGUAAGUAACUGUGCACAUCUUGACGGUACCUAAUCAGAAAGCCACGGCUAACUACGUG
rnacentral:rRNA from 1 species